GCCGUGGCUCAGUGGUAGAGCAUCUGCUUGGCAUGCAGAAGGUCCCGUGUUCAAUCCUCAGCAUCUCCA
rnacentral:tRNA from 1 species